rnacentral:rRNA from 1 species
GCUUAACGCGAAGAACCUUACCUACCUUUGAAUCCACGGAACCUAGCAGAGAUGUUGGGGUGCCUUCGGGAACCGUGAGACAGGUGCUGCAUGGCUGUCGUCAGCUCGUGUCGUGAGAUGUUGGGUUAAGUCCCGUAACGAGCGCAACCCUUGUCCUUAGUUGCCAUCAGGUUAUGCUGGGCACUUUAAGGAGACUGCCGGUGAUAAACCGGAGGAAGGUGGGGAUGACGUCAAGUCCUCAUGGCCCUUACAGGUAGGGCUACACACGUGCUACAAUGGGCAGUACAGAGGGAAGCCAACCCGCGAGGGGGAGCGAAUCUCAUAAAGCUGUUCGUAGUCCGGAUUGGAGUCUGCAACUCGACUCCAUGAAGUUGGAAUCGCUAGUAAUCGCGGAUCAGAAUGCCGCGGUGAAUACGUUCCCGGGUC